rnacentral:lncRNA from 1 species
AGACACGUUAACACCUGAAAUUGUCAUAGAUUCCCUUAGAAGUAAAGAAAUGGAAAUUAGGGCUGAAAAACAUGAUAAGAGGAAUGGUGAGGUACAUAUGAUGCGGGGUAGAACUCAAUUUAUGCAAAAUAGUCAUAAGGGAUAUCAAACUAGUGGCGAGUCAAGUGGUAAUGGAUGGAAAAAGAAGAGCAAAGGUAGGUCUAGAUCAAAAUCUAGGACCAAGGCGAGAAAAUGUUAUGGUUGUGGAAACACAAGGCAUUUUAUAAAAGAUUGCCAUAAGGAGAAGGGUAAGCUAAAAGCUAAGGACAGAGAUGAGGUAAAUGUGUUAGCAUCUACUUCUGAUAUAAAUGGUGGUAAGGUCUAUAUGAUUACAAGUCCAGCUGCAUACACUGCUGAAUUAAAUCUAGCUGCUAAUUCCCGCAUCCAUGAGUGGAUACUUGAUUCUGGUGCAUCUUUUCAUGUGACGUCUGAAAAGAACUGGUUUUGUAAGUUGCAUGAAUCUAACGUUGGGCAUGUUGUGCUGUGUGAUAAUUUUGCCUAUACUAUUGCUGGAAUUGGUGACAUAAAUGUAAAAUUUGACACGGGUUUUGUGUAUACGUUAAAGGAUGUUAGAUAUAUUCCUGAAUUUUCUAGGAAUUUGAUUUUAGUAGGGAGACUUGAAAAGGAUGACUUUACUGGUAAAAUUGGAAAUGGUAUGCUAAAAAUGAUCAAGGGUGCUUUAGUUUCCAUUAAGGGAAUUAAGAAAAACGAUAAAUACAUUACUACUGGGAAAGUGAUUAGAGAUGUGAAUUCCUCUAUCUCCUCUGCCAAGAUUGAUCACACACACACAUGACACAAUAGACUUGCUCACGUAGGAGUCAAGGGACUUAAGCUACUUAAUGA